AGAGUUUGAUCAUGGCUCAGGAUGAACGCUGGCGGUAUGCUUAACACAUGCAAGUUGAACGAAAGCUUAUGCUUUAGUAGCGGACGGGUGAGUAAUACGUGAGAAUCUACCUUGAGGAGGGGAAUAACAAUUGGAAACGAUUGCUAAUGCCCCAUAUGCUUACGAGUGAAAUAGAUUUAUCUGCCUUAAGAUGAGCUCACGCCUGAUUAGCUAGUUGGUGAAGUAAAGGUUUACCAAGGCUACGAUCAGUAGCUGGUUUGAGAGGAUGAUCAGCCACACUGGAACUGAGACACGGUCCAGACUUCUACGGGAGGCAGCAGUGGGGAAUUUUCCGCAAUGGGCGCAAGCCUGACGGAGCAAUACCNNNNNNGGGAAGAAUGCCUGUGGGUUGUAAACCUCUUCUCUAU
rnacentral:rRNA from 1 species